AUGAUGUUUUGAAGUAUAUAUACAUUGUAGAAUGGUUAAACAUAGCUAAUGAAUAUCAAUUGCAUUCCCUCACAUAGAUUUUUAUACACUGGAGUAGUGAUAAUAUUAAUAAUAAUUUCGCUUGAAAGGCAAACGAGAACAGAAGGAAAAGGGAGGUCACAAGAAGUGAGGAAAAUGUUAGAGCCGGUUUCCUUCGGCCCCAUGAACAGAGAAGCAGAAUCGCUGAGGCUGCAAAGCACAAAGGAGUUAUCGACUAGCUUGAGCUAGGGCCCAGGGCCCCGACGCAGUGGCCUCCCUACGAACCAGGACCCCGCCCUGGGGUGUAAGUCAAGCUUUUACGCUUUUCUGUGGGUUACACACGCAGGACACACCAUCCCUCCUCCCCGCAUAGUUCAUCCGCUCCUUUAAAAGUGGCUGAUCAUGACGGCUCCUGAUUGGCUCCUUCAAAAGCCGCGGGUCAUUUCGGGAAGGGUGUUGUUGGCGUCACUUCCGGGAAGGGCGUAGUUGGAGAAGUUUCGGAGGAACCUAAACUUGGGCCUACUCCCGGAAGUGCAGCCUGUCAUGGAGUCACUCCUGCGCUCAUUCCUGUUUUACACAGAAUGGUGACAAGUCCAAUGGAUGGCUGGUCCUAGCUGGGUCAACGGAGUAAUGGAUUGUGGUGCCAGACGCUGUAAGCUUCCUGAACGGUGCCAGGGCAGUAACACCACUGAGACUUCAGAGGAAAGAAACGCUUCAUCGCUGCUCCACUCCAGCAAGGGAUGUAUUUUUCUUCCUGACGCUUACGUGAGACGGUGCUGGGUGGGGCUCACCAGCGCUGCCACGAGGAGCCCAGCGUGAGGACGGCGCUGCAGUCCGUAGACCCGGAAGGACAGCCUGAGUCCUGUGGGGUUUGAUCAAGCCUUGCCUGAGGAGCUACCUCAACAUUUCAGUCCUGAGAGUUGUAGGGAUUCUUUCUUCAGUUAAGGAAGUUUCUUGUUACACUUGGCAAUGGGAAUUUUCAGUAGUGCGUGAAAAUUUCACUCCACAGAAUCUGGCCAUUGCACACUCCUCUGGUAUAGGCAACACUGGCCUAAGCUAAGUAUUGUAGGUGACAUCAGAGAUGGACUUAAAGGAUCAAAUUAGAAUGUGCAAUUUGCUAACACUUUGAAUCUAUCACUGGGCACACCAGAUAAAAAUUAAAAGCAGGUUGGGUUAAUAAUUAUAGAGAAAAUAAAAACUUCAUGAAGUCAUCGCCAUCUUGGGCAAGUUAAUAUUUUCUUCCCCUUUUCCAACUAGUUAAUCGGAAGUGUGGAGAGCUGGGUCUGCUAAUAUAAUUAAUUCCCUAUGAACAGAUUUCUUUUUCUUCCUCUUAGAAAUAACAUGGCAUAGUGCUGUAAUAGGAAAAGUAGAAAUGAGUACAAGAUAAUCUGAGAACAGGCAGAUUUAUAUUUAACAUUAUGAAUAAAGCCCAGAAUAGUUAGGAUGACAUACUUAUCAGAGAAAACAUUAAGAAGUGAUCUUAACUGUAAUCUACAAUUUUGUGGUCACCGCUACAAUUAUACCCAUGUACUGUGAAAUUUGCCUUAAAGUAUUCCUGUAAGACUAAAAUCCCAAAUCAAGUCAUUUCUUAUCCAUUGUUACCUUUACCUCCUGCAAUUAAUAUUGUGCUUUACUCAAUCAAUAUAUGUGGUCAAUAGUA